UACAGAGGUCCCAAGCGUUGUCCGGAAUUAUUGGGCGUAAAGGGCUCGUAGGCGGUUUGUCGCGUCGGGAGUGAAACACCGGGCUUAACUCGGUGCUUGCUUUCGAUACGGGCAGACUAGAGUUCGGCAGGGGAGACUGGAAUUCCUGGUGUAGCGGUGAAAUGCGCAGAUAUCAGGAAGAACACCAAUGGCGAAGGCAGCUCUCUGGGACGGUACUGACGCUGAGACGCGAAAGCGUGGGGAGCGAACAGG
rnacentral:rRNA from 1 species